UGGCAUUCCCGCUAAAUGAUAGAUACUCUCUGAUGGAUUUGUGGGGUGACCUCCACAACCUGAUGAUAUUAAAGGAAAGAUCUGCUCAGAUGGAGGGCCCUUUAAAGCUGGAGAAAGGAGAGACUACUUAGCCAGAGACGAAGCACCUGUAUUAAAAUGAAUGGGAGAAAUUGGAACACCUGAUAUGGCGGAUAUAGAAAAGGAAGCCCCACCUUACAGGUAAAAGAACCAAUUACCUUUUAGAUACAGACAUAGCUUGAGAAUGUGCAUUAGCUGGACCAGCCUAAAUUUUAUUGUUUUUUUAGCGUGAUCUGAGCAAAAAAAAAAAAAAAAAGCACAAUAUAUGAUACCAUUGUUGUUAGAUUUUACUGCUGAUUUGAAAUAUGUUCUUUGAUCUUAAUCUUGACCAACUGUUUUGGAGAUUUUGUUCUUUACUCUUUCAAGUAGAUACUGUAGGGGCUGUACUUUUAUGCCACUUGUAUCCAUAGAAAAUAGCUGCAUGGGAGAAUUUCCAAGAUGGCGGCGGAGUGGACUGACUUGCCUUAACAGACCUGUGAUCCAUUUUUGGAUCGUGACUCACCAGAGAACCACUCAUCUAAAGGACAGUUUCUUUCCUUUUUGUGUUUUGAUAGUUUUAAUCCCACACCAGUUGUAAAAUUCAAAUCAUGUUGAUUUUCACCUGGCAUACGAUAAAACAUAACAAAUUUAGAACUUACAUUGAA